GACGAACGCUGGCGGCGUGCCUAAUACAUGCAAGUAGAACGCAGUUGCGAACGGGUGAGUAACGCGUAGGUAACUGCCUCAUAGCGGGGGAUAACUAUUGGAACCGAUAGCUAAUACCGCAUACUGUGAGAUGUACCUGCGUUGUAUUGGUUAGUUGGUGGGGUAAAGGCUCACCAAGGCGGAGCUGCAUAGCCGACAUGAGAGGGUGAUCCGCCAAACGGGGACUGAGACACGGCCCAGACUCCUACGGGAGGCAGGAGGAGGGAAUUUUUGGCAAUGGGCGGAAGUCUGACCGAGCAAAGCCGCGGUAGUGAAGAAGGUCUUCGGAUCGUAAAGGUCUGUUGAGAGAGAAGCGGUAACUAAACAGAAAGGGACGGCUAACUACGUGCCAGCAGCCGCGGUAAUAC
rnacentral:rRNA from 1 species